rnacentral:rRNA from 1 species
GAUGAACGCUGGCGGCAUGCCUAAUACAUGCCAGUCGAGCGAACACACCAGGAGCUUUCUCCUCUGACGUUAUCGCCGGACGGGUGCGUAACACGUGGUUAACCUACCUAUCAGACUGGGAUACCUUCGGCAAACCGUAUCUACUACCGGAUAAUAUAUUGAACCUCAUUGUUCACUAGUUAAAUACGCUUUUGCUUUCGCUUAUAGCUUGCUCCGCCCCGCAUCAGCUGGUUGGUAAGGUAACGGCUUACCAAGGCAACGAUGCGUAGCCGACCUGAGCGGGUGAUCCGCCAGACUGGAAGAGAGACAGGGCACAGACUCUGACGGGAGGCAGCAGUAGGGAAUCUUACGCAAUGGGCGAAAGCGUGACGGAGCAAAGCCGCGUGAGGGAUGAAGGGCUUCGGAUCGGAAAACUCUGUUAGUAGGGAGGAACAAAUGUGUAAGUAACUAGGCACGUCUUGACGGUACCGAAAGAGAAAGCCACGGCUAACUACGUG